rnacentral:rRNA from 1 species
GAUGAACGCUGGCGGCGUGCCUAAUACAUGCAAGUCGAGCGAACGGACGAGAAGCUUGCUUCUCUGAUGUUAGCGGCGGACGGGUGAGUAACACGUGGAUAACCUACCUAUAAGACUGGGAUAACUUCGGGAAACCGGAGCUAAUACCGGAUAAUAUUUUGAACCGCAUGGUUCAAAAGUGAAAGACGGUCUUGCUGUCACUUAUAGAUGGAUCCGCGCUGCAUUAGCUAGUUGGUAAGGUAACGGCUUACCAAGGCAACGAUGCAUAGCCGACCUGAGAGGGUGAUCGGCCACACUGGAACUGAGACACGGUCCAGACUCCUACGGGAGGCAGCAGUAGGGAAUCUGCCGCAAUGGGCGAAAGCCUGACGGAGCAACGCCGCGGGAGUGAUGAAGGUCUUCGGAUCGUAAAACUCUGUUAUUAGGAAAGAACAUAUGUGUAAGUAACUGUGCACAUCUUGACGGUACCGAAUCAGAAAGCCACGGCUAACUACGA